rnacentral:misc_RNA from 1 species
CGUAGGUGAACCUGCGGAAGGAUCAUUAUUGUAUAACCGAGGUGCGAGGGCUGUCGCUGACCCGAAAGGUCGUGCACGCCCGAGUGCCCUCACACACAUCCAUCUCACCCCUAUGUGCACCACCGCGUGGGUCCCCCUUUGGCUUGUUCGGAGGGGGGCUUACGUUUUCACACAAACUUUGUAUGCAGUGUAGAAUGUAUUUUUUGUUUUUGCGAUCACGCAAUCAAUACAACUUUCAACAACGGAUCUCUUGGCACUCGCAUCGAUGAAAACGCAGC